CAUUACAUUAGGCUCUAUAUAUUGAUAAUAAUAAUUAUGCAUUUUAAUUCUGACACUAUGAUUAUUUUAUUCACAUGUAUAUGCACAUCGAUUUUAUAUUAUCUUUUCUCUCACAUUUGUAAAGCGCUUUAGAGAACUAAUGUUGAUAGGGCGCUAUAUAAAUCUUUUAAUUACAAUUAACUUUCCAUUCCAUCUUGUUUCUACUAAAAAGAAACCGGUGUGUUUUACCAUGUUUGUGUUUAGAGUUCGCAUAUUUUGCAGUCUAAUUAAAACCGAACAGUCAGCGGCGGAUCCAGGAAUUGCGGUUAGGUAGCCGCAACUUUAUGAGGCAGGGGAUCUGGGACCGCUUUGAAGCCCUCAGUGGGUCCAGGGGGCAUAUCCCCCGGAAGCUCCUGGAUUUUACAGAUUUUAUAGGGCUUGAAAUAUCUCCUAUGUAGUCAAUUGUACUAUUUUCUGUCAUUUUUAAUAAGACGAAAUUAAUGAAAUGACGCAAAUUUUAAGAGUUCUCCCCAACAAAGUAUAAUUCAAUAAAUCAAAAGAUUUUGUCAUGUAUUUCUCUUAGAGUGGAAGAAAGUAGCGCUUCUUUUAUCGUUUUCAUUUUUUUAUUUUUUUUUUUACACAAAUAUACCUUAAAUUUAAAAAUUUUAGAGGAAGACAUAGAAUUUGCGAAAUGCUGACUUUAAAUGAGACUGUUAAUACUUCUGUAGUAUCACCUUAUUUGUCAUUAGCCUGUUUGGAUUUAAGAAUUGAUCAUAUGCAGAACAUGUUCUCACGUAUCGAAUCAGUUGAGAGACACCAUAUGCAGGUGAUAGUGGAAAAUUGCUAUACAAAUAUGGGGAAUUGACGCUGGAGUAAUCUUUUUUGUUAUAAGGUUGUAUUGUUAAAUUGUCGUUGACAUCUAUGUUCGAUAAAAUAUCCAAAUAUGAAGCAGAUAUGGAAGACUUUGUGAUGUCUUUUAUUUCGAGUUAUCGACAUCCGACCUGAAGAAGACGAUAAACAAUAGUGAGGUAAAAUGUGACACAGGCAAAAAACGAAAGUCAAGGAUAGGAAAAUUUAAUUCCUCGAGGUGUACGUGUAUGUUGGUGUUAUUGUAUCGCCUUUUUUUUUUUUUUUUUUUUUUUUUUUUUUACAGAGAAUCAUGCACGACGCAGAAUAUUGGACUUAAAACGGACUGUUCCUCAUUAAAGCCCAUCUGUAAGAACGAUCAUCUCUUGGGGAUCUGUUGAACGAAGACAGAUAGCGAGUACACUCAGGCAAACGAUAAGGAAGAAAACGAUGACACAUAAUUCCCAAUUCAGUAAAUUUUGCGACAUAACAUAGAUUGAUUGAUUGUAUCUUGCUUAACGUCUCUCUCGAGAAUUUUUCACUCAUAUGGAGACGUCACCACGACCGGUGAAGGGCUUCAAAUUUAGACCUUUACUCGGCGCUUACGGCCAUUGAGCAGUGAGGGUUCUUUAGCGUGCCACACCUACUGUGACACGGGACAUCCGUUUUUAUGGUCAUCUCCGAGGACCCGUGACAUUCACACCUAAUGCCGAGCGUUGGCGAUGGAACUGUCACUACCUGUUUUAACGACUUAGGUCUGUCGCGGCCAAGAUUCGAACCCCGACCUUCCGCACGCGGGCGAACGCUCUAACCUCUAGGCCACCGUGCCGGUCAAAAUGAUAUAGAACAUUUUGUUAAAUGAAAAAAUUGGUCAAUUAGAUUCAAUUCUUUCAUGAAAGCUUAGGACGUUAAUUGCAAUGAACGUUACGACAAAGAAGACGAUAUCAGCUUCUCCAUCGUCGACUUCCCACAUUUAUGUAGUAAUUUUCCAUUAUGACCUGCAUAUGAUGUGUAUAUAUCUCAACUGAUUCGUUACACAAGAGCUUGUUCUGCGUAUGAUCAGUUUUUAAAUUGAAUCGGGCUACUGAUAAACAGGUUGAUGUUGCGUGGAUUUCAACAGUCUCGUUUAAAGUCAGCAUUUCGCAAAUUCUAUGGUCCUUAUAACGAUCUAGUUUGCCAAUAGGGUCUGUAAGUCUCGUCAUGUGAUUGCCGAGAUUUAGCGAGAUUAUUAACUUCCGGGUACAUCAACAUCUCAUAUUGCACUGUGUAGAGAGUGGUAUACAUACAUGUAGAUAUAGCGUUAUCAAUCGAUUAUGUGGAGGUUUUAACGAGAUAAACAUGGGAAUUGAAGCAUUAGUGGAGUGGUCGAGGAUUCUUGGCUUCGUGUUUGACGAAUUACGUGUAAUAACCGCCAGUGUACAAGCAUCGAUGAGGGUACGUCUUGCAGAUAAAGAGCAGAUAUGCCUUGAAUCUGAGGAUAAAGGUGUUGUGCAUUGUGCAGUCAUCAUUAAUGUGGAUGUCUGAUGCCAGUAUGCCCAUAAUGGGGCAGUAUAAGUGUCGAUCUUCAUAUGACAGCAAAUUUUCAAAGGCAGAUAUAAGAAGGCAAAUAAAACUGUUCAAUGUAAAAUACGCCAGUAGUUGGAUAAAACAUCCAAAGUCAGCACAGUCAAAGUUCACAACAACAAUGGAGGAAUUAACUGCAUCCUCAUUCCGCAGGGCAACAGGCCAUUUUCAGCAACCCCUGAAAUUCUUAAUUGAGGCUAAGUGCCCAUUUUCAGCUCGAACAAUGACAAUUAAAUAGGCCUGUGCAAAUGUUGGGAUUUCCCUCUUGAAUGUGAUGCAAGGGAUGGUUCGCUGCACCUCAAAACAAAAUUUGAAUAUUGGCAUCAGAUUCAAGGACAACACCACCUGAAAGACACCCAAUGCAGUGAUUUGCUAGUGUGGAUUCCUAGUGACACUCAAAUAAUUCACAUUGACAAAGAAGUAUUAUGGUCAACCUUUUAAGCGUGAUAGAGUUUAAUUAUAAUAAUGAAGUAUUUUUGCAGUCUAAAACAACACACAUAACCACAUGUACAUAUACUUUAUUAUGAUAUCAGUGGUGCAUCUAUCAAAGUUAUGUAAUUACAUGUAUAUUUAUUGAAUAAACAUUAUAGACAGAGUU